rnacentral:lncRNA from 1 species
AGAUAGGUCUUCAAAUCAAAGUGACCCCCUUCCUGCCUGGGGAACACAGCAAGACAUCAAGGCUCUCCUGCCCCAGGGGUGCCAUGGUCUAGACAGUUUAUUAAGACAUCAGCCUUGCUUGCCUGAGGCUAGUCCUUCUGCUACAUCUGGAAAGAAAGGAGGUAUAAAUGAGGCCAGAAUUAAAAAGACAAACAGCAUGAAUAGAUGAACCGUGCAGCACGACCACCAGGGAGUCAUUUGUUACUGCUUUCUUUGAUUCCGAUCCCAUCUCAGAAGGCUGUUCUCUGUGGAAUCCCUUCAGAGAAACAAACAGGCAGUGGGGACCGCAAGGGCUUAAAACUCUACUGCAAUCUCCUAAUGAUCUGUUGGAUAUUCAUAAGUG